UUUAUGGAGAGUUUGAUCCUGGCUCAGGAUGAACGCUGGCGGCGUGCCUAAUACAUGCAAGUCGAGCGAACAGAUAAGGAGCUUGCUCCUUUGACGUUAGCGGCGGACGGGUGAGUAACACGUGGGUAACCUACCUAUAAGACUGGAAUAACUCCGGGAAACCGGGGCUAAUGCCGGA
rnacentral:rRNA from 1 species